rnacentral:snRNA from 1 species
GUGCUUGUUUCACAGCACAUAUACUAACAUCAGAAUGAUACAGAGAAGAUUAGCAUGGCCCCUGGGCAAGGAUGACACAACAAUUCUAAAAAAAAUAAAAAGCCUG